rnacentral:RNase_P_RNA from 1 species
AGCGAGGGCCAUUCUAUCGCUCGGCACCCGUUGCCGAGAGGAAAGUCCGGGCAGCACGAGCCACCAUGCUUCCUAACGGGAAGGCAUCCGAUGAAUGUGUUAAUGCGUUAAUGCGUUAAUGUGUUAGUGGGGUGACAGCGAGCGCCACAGAAAACAAACCGCUAUUAGGAGUGACUGAGUGUCCGAGUCACCAAGUAACUGAGAAAAAACUUAGUCACUCAGUCACUUGGUCACCCAGUCACUUCUAGUAGUAAGGGUGAAAACGCGGGGUAAGAGCCCACGACGUGUUGCGGCGACGCACACGAUGGCAAGCCUCAUGGGCUGAAAGACCAUGUAUACCGACAUUUAAGGGCUGGCUCGCCCGUUGUCGGGGGGUGGGUUGAUAGAGGCCGUCGGCGACGGCGGUCCUAGAUUAAUGAUAGAACACGACAGAACCCGGCUUACAGGCCCAAGCUAUUU